AUCAGGAUGUCACCCACAAAGCUCUGUGGAAAUGGGAGAUGGCUCCAGAGGUGCUAGACACAAGUUCAGGGGCAAAUGGAAAUAAGGGAUGUAGAACAUUUUCACUUUGAGGUUUGGCUCAUCCUAGCAGAGACUGGAGCAUGAGGGAACUGGUGGAACGUGUUCCCUCCUGCCCUGCAAUGUUGAUCCCUGGCACUGUGAGGAUUAGCAAGUGGUCAAAAGCAUCAGGAGGUGACCUUGCUCUGCCAUAAGAUCCCUCCCUCGUGGGCCUGGGCUGCCCAGGGAAAGCUGGCAGCACCCUGUGGACUGGUUUUAUAACAUCAAGAAGAAUGGAAAAGCUGCAAGGCAUGCACACUCAAGACGCUGCGCUCCUGGAAAGUUCUGGAUGGGCUCCAGGCAAUGUUUGGUGGCUAAGAAGGAUGAAGGUCUUGGAAAGAAGAGGAAACAAUCAGCCAAGCCCUCAUCCUGCAAUAUUCCUGUUUCUGUGAGCUGGGAAUGCCAUUGGAGCAUGGGAAGGACAGAAAAAUGCGUUCCUGCAACGUCACGUGUCUGAGGGGCGCCCUGGUGAUAACCUGGAUAAUACAAUCUGAUUUUGGCCUUGAGUCUGUUCCCUUGGAUUAUCGCAUUUCUUCAAGGACCAAAAGCUGUGCUGGUGAUUCAGACCCAAAGGAGAAUGUCUUUUUUAGUGGUAAGCUUUCAGGUUUUGGUUUUUUUUUUUUAUUUUGUUUUCUUUCCCCCAGCCAUCAAAGGC
rnacentral:lncRNA from 1 species